UACGGGGGGGGCAAGCGUUGUUCGGAAUUACUGGGCGUAAAGGGCUUGUAGGUGGCCAACUAAGUCAGACGUGAAAUCCCUCAGCUUAACUGGGGAACUGCGUCUGAUACUGGAUGGCUUGAGUUUGGGAGAGGGACGCGGAAUUCCAGGUGUAGCGGUGAAAUGCGUAGAUAUCUGGAGGAACACCGGUGGCGAAGGCGGCUUCCUGGACCGACACUGACGCUGAGGCGCGAAAGCGUGGGGAGCGAACAGG
rnacentral:rRNA from 1 species